GGGUUGAUGGCGUCGUUGGUUAUCGGGUCUCACAUUACACUCUUACCAAUGACACAGAAGAUCUUCAGUUCGAAUCUGUGUCAACUCA
rnacentral:tRNA from 1 species